rnacentral:rRNA from 1 species
UCGAGCGCCCCGCAAGGGGAGCGGCAGACGGGUGAGUAACACGUGGGAACCUUCCCUAUAGUACGGAAUAGCCCAGGGAAACUUGGAGUAAUACCGUAUACGCCCGAGAGGGGAAAGAUUUAUCGCUAUAGGAUGGGCCCGCGUAGGAUUAGCUAGUUGGUGAGGUAAUGGCUCACCAAGGCGACGAUCCUUAGCUGGUUUGAGAGAACGACCAGCCACACUGGGACUGAGACACGGCCCAG